GGCACUAUAGCCAAGUGGUUAAGGCGACAGAUUAGAAUUUGGUUAAAGAAUUCCAAGCUUCUAUCUGUUACUCUCUGAGUGCGCAGGUUCAAAUCCUGCUGGUGUCG
rnacentral:tRNA from 1 species